UACUUAGUGGCAGACGGGUGAGUAACAUGUGGGUAUCUACCCUUUGGCCUGGAAUAACACGAGGAAACUUGUGCUAAUACCGGAUAAGUCUUUACAGAGAAAGCUUUAUGCACCAUUGGAUGAGCCCGCACUUGAUUAGUUUGUUGGUAGGGUAAUGGCCUACCAAGACUAUGAUCAAUAGCUGAUUUGAGAGGAUGAUCAGCCACAUUGGGACUGAGACACGGCCCAAACUCCUACGGGAGGCAGCAGUGGGGAAUCUUGCACAAUGGAGGAAACUCUGAUGCAGCGAUGCCGCGUGAGUGAAGAAGGCCUUUGGGUUGUAAAGCUCUUUCGUCGGGGAAGAAAAUGACUGUACCCGAAUAAGAAGGUCCGGCUAACUUCGUGCCAGCAGCCGCGGUAAUACGAAGGGACCUAGCGUAGUUCGGAAUUACUGGGCUUAAAGAGUUCGUAGGUGGUUGAAAAAGUUGGUGGUGAAAUCCCAGAGCUUAACUCUGGAACUGCCAUCAAAACUUUUCAGCUAGAGUAUGAUAGAGGAAAGCA
rnacentral:rRNA from 1 species